CCUGUCUCAGAAAAAAGAUGAUCUCGGACUCAUUAACCGUUGGAUCGUCGUGAAAUUUGAGCACCACGUUCGCAACCCAAUUUCGAGCAUUCUCACCGUUGGGAAUUGCAAAAUCAUGUCUGAGCUUAGAGUAAAAUCCUUCGCAUUGUAGCUUUUUAUUAUCCCGCAGAAACCCAAAACUGUCUCGGUAAAACUACGAUCCCGGUUUCGUUAACCGUUGGAUUUUCACGAAAUUUGGAUAUGUUCCUCGAAAUUCAAUUUCUCACACUCUAACCGUUGAGAUUUGCGAGAUAAUGUUCGUGGUGGGAGAAAAAGGAAUCGCAUGGAGACAGUACAAGCGGAGGCUUCAAUCUCUUCUCCGUCUCUCUGACGUUCGAGAAUUCUAUCGGAGCAGUCGGAGGAAAAACUUGAGGAAUCUCAAGGAACCGCUAUAGAUGCCGCUAUCGUUGUCGGAAGACACGUGAGUCCGCUUAGAGACGACUAGGUGAAUUGCUUUAAGGAACAUUAUGCUGAAGGACGUCGAGACACAACGCUCUGAUAGAAUGUGACAGUGGGACAUAAGUUUUUAUAUUAGUGGCAUGAUGUUAGUCUAUUUUAUUUUAUUUCACUGAUUUAAUAAAAUAUCUCUGUAAAUUUUGAUGGCCUUAUUUUGAGCCAAAUAUGUUUCAAUAAGUUUUAAUUGAUAAUAGUGAAGUGAAUGUGAACCUUUUACCCGUGUGAA